GUUUUCCUGGCACUCUAGUGGUCCUUUAAUGUUAGGGUUAAAAUUAGAGUUAGAUUUAGGGCGUUAUUUUGUAUUUAGAGAUUAGUGCCACCAUGGAAAAACAUCAAAUUUAGAAUUAUGUAUACAGUUAGUUUGCGCCUUACCCCUAGGAUUAUUAUGGUUGAGGUAAAAAGUGAGAGGGGUUAAAUUGGUUUACCUAAUUAUAAUUUUAACCCUAUUGUCCCAUGUGCUGGCAACUUUACAGCAUUUUGACUGCCAUUCUUGUAUAUAUUUUGGACCAUAUAGUGUGGUCCAAUCUAUUCUUAUCUUUUAUGAUUGUUUGUGGAUAGGCUAAGAGGUUUAUUCCUAUCAAUGCACUUCUGCUCCAAUUUAAAACGUUUCCCUUUUUUAAUUUGGCUCUACGAACUGCUGUUUAAUAUUUCUCUUCUGUUGAAGCCCUUUAAUUCACAUCACUCUCAAAAGUGUUUGACCUUGAAAAAGGACUUUGAUCUAUGGAGUUAACUAA